AGUGAGCGCUGGCGGUAGGCCUAACACAUGCAAGUCGAACGGCAGCACAGAGGAGCUUGCUCCUUGGGUGGCGAGUGGCGGACGGGUGAGGAAUACAUCGGAAUCUACUCUGUCGUGGGGGAUAACGUAGGGAAACUUACGCUAAUACCGCAUACGACCUACGGGUGAAAGCAGGGGAUCUUCGGACCUUGCGCGAUUGAAUGAGCCGAUGUCGGACUAGCUAGUUGGCGGGGUAAAGGCCCACCAAGGCGACGAUCCGUAGCUGGUCUGAGAGGAUGAUCAGCCACACUGGAACUGAGACACGGUCCAGACUCCUACGGGAGGCAGCAGUGGGGAAUAUUGGACAAUGGGCGCAAGCCUGAUCCAGCCAUACCGCGUGGGUGAAGAAGGCCUUCGGAUUGUAAAGCCCUUUUGUUGGGAAAGAAAUCCAUCUGGUUAAUACCCGGGUGGGAUGACGGUACCCAAAGAAUAAGCACCGGCUAACUUCGUGCCAGCCGCCGCCGUAA
rnacentral:rRNA from 1 species